UACGUAGGCGGAAUAUUAAGUCAGUGGUGAAAUCCUGCGGCUCAACCGUAGAACUGCCAUUGAUACUGAUAUUCUUGAAUGUAGUUGAUGUAGGCGGAAUGUGUAAUGUAGCGGUGAAAUGCUUAGAUAUUACACAGAACACCGAUUGCGAAGGCAGCUUACUAAACUAUGAUUGACGCUGAGGUACGAAAGCGUGGGGAGCGAACAGGAUUAGAUACCCUGGUAGUCC
rnacentral:rRNA from 1 species